rnacentral:rRNA from 1 species
AUUGAACGCUGGCGGCAUGCUUUACACAUGCAAGUCGGACGGCAGCACAGAGAAGCUUGCUUCUUGGGUGGCGAGUGGCGAACGGGUGAGUAAUAUAUCGGAACGUACCGAGUAAUGGGGGAUAACUAAUCGAAAGAUUAGCUAAUACCGCAUAUUCUCUGAGGAGGAAAGCAGGGGACCUUCGGGCCUUGCGUUAUUCGAGCGGCCGAUAUCUGAUUAGCUAGUUGGUGGGGUAAAGGCCUACCAAGGCGACGAUCAGUAGCGGGUCUGAGAGGAUGAUCCGCCACACUGGGACUGAGACACGGCCCAGACUCCUACGGGAGGCAGCAGUGGGGAAUUUUGGACAAUGGGCGCAAGCCUGAUCCAGCCAUGCCGCGUGCCUGAAGAAGGCCUUCGGGUUGUAAAGGACUUUUGUCAGGGAAGAAAAGGCUGUUGCUAAUAUCGACAGCUGAUGACGGUACCUGAAGAAUAAGCACCGGCUAACUACGUG